UACGUAGGGGGCAAGCGUUGUCCGGAUUCAUUGGGCGUAAAGAGCGUGUAGGCGGCCAGGUAGGUCGGUUAUGAAAACUGGAGGCUCAACCUUCAGAGGUCGACCGAAACCAUCUGGCUAGAGUCCGGGAGAGGAGAGUGGAAUUCCUGGUGUAGCGGUGAAAUGCGCAGAUAUCAGGAAGAACACCCGUGGCGAAAGCGGCUCUCUGGAACGGUACUGACGCUGAGACGCGAAAGCGUGGGGAGCGAACAGG
rnacentral:rRNA from 1 species